CCUACGGGUGGCAGCAGUGAGGAAUAUUGGUCAAUGGCCGGAAGGCUGAACCAGCCAAGCCGCGUGAAGGACGAAGGUGCCAAGCAUUGUAAACUUCUUUUGUCAAGGGACAAAAUCAGGCUCGAGAGCAUGACCGAGGUUACUUGAAGAAAAAGCAUCGGCUCACUCCGUGCCAGCAGCCGCGGUAAUACGGAGGAGGCGAGGGUUAUCCGGAUUGAUUGGGGUAAAGGGGUGCGUAGGCGGACGGUUAAGUCAGCGGUAAAAGCCAGGGGCUUAACCCCGGCGAGCCGUUGAAACUGGCUGUCUUGAGAUGUCGAGAGGUAUGCGGAAUGCGCGGUGUAGCGGUGAAAUGCUUAGAUAUUGCGCAGAACUCCGAUUGCGAAGGCAGCAUACCGGCGGCGAUCUGACGCUGAGGCACGAAAGCGUGGGUAUCGAACAGGAUUAGAUACCCGAGUAGUC
rnacentral:rRNA from 1 species